CAUAGAUUCCUGUUUGGAGCCCACACCUAUCUUUGAGAAAGAGGCACUCUGAUUCAAGCAACAGCAGUCUCACAUUACUUUUAUGAGGUUUCCAGUCUUCAGCUUGAGCUACAUGAAAGUGAUAGAAAACAGUGGGAAAACACUAACGUUUUUGGAAGGCAGGAAGGAAGCCUAGCCCAGCACACAGUUGCACAGAAGGUCACAAAACUCUUCCAGCCAUCUGGACAAAACUCCCACACAAAUGCAUCAAGUCCACUAAAGACAAAAGGAUCCUCCAAUGGACAUCAAAAAUAUAAAAGGAAAAGAAAACUCAGGAAAUGAGGAAGAAAAAAUCAUGAAUUAAAGAACACAUCUGAAACCCACU
rnacentral:lncRNA from 11 species